rnacentral:tRNA from 3 species
UCCCCUGUGGUGUAAUCGGCAGCACUGGGACCUUUGGAGUCCUAUGUCCGGGUUCGAGUCCUGGCAGGGGAGCCA